rnacentral:rRNA from 1 species
AACGCUGGCGGCAGGCCUAACACAUGCAAGUCUUUCGGUAGCACAGAGAGCUUGCUCUCGGGUGACGAGUGGCGGACGGGUGAGUAAUGUCUGGGGAUCUGCCCGAUAGAGGGGGAUAACCACUGGAAACGGUGGCUAAUACCGCAUAACGUCGCAAGACCAAAGAGGGGGACCUUCCGGCCUCUCACUAUCGGAUGAACCCAUAUGGGAUUAGCUAGUACGCGGGGUAACGGCCCACCUAGGCGACCAUCCCUAGCUGGUCUGAGAGGAUGACCAGCCACACUGGAACUGAUACACGGUCCACACUCCUACCGGAGGCAGCAUUGGGGAAUAUUGCACAAUGGGCGCAAGCCUGAUGCACCCAUGCCGCGUGUAUGAAGAAGGCCUUCGGGUUGUAAAGUACUUUCAGCGGGGAGGAAGGCGAUGUGGUUAAUAACCGCGUCCAUUGACGUUACCCGCAGGAAGAAGCACCGGCUAACUCCGUGCCAGCAGCCGCGGUAAUACAGAGGGUGCAGGCGUUAAUCGGAAUUACUGGGCGUAAAGCGCACGCACGCGGUCUGUUAAGUCACAUGUGAAAUCCCCAGGCUUAACCUGGGAACUGCAUUU